UAUUAUUGGAAACUCCAGAUGUUGCGAGAAAGGUAGGCGAAACAAUUUUUUUUACUGUUCAUUUUGCCCCGAUAUUUAUCAAUAAUGAUGAAUUUUGCAAGCAAUAACAUUAUUUCUUUUAUUGUUCUAGAUAUUUAUUGAAGCUGAAAAUAAUUGGGGAUUUAGAUCCAUACGAAUUCAGUCAGAAUUGGAUUUUACAGUAAAGUGCAGUCCAUCAAGUUACUAUUAUAGAUAUUUAUACAUGUCUGGUGGAGUCUGAUAUGUCACAGUUGCUACUCUAAGCAGCAGAUAAAAGCAUACAAAAGCCUUCAGGCACAUAAAUAUUUUACAGCUGGAUUUGUUUUGAAUGGAGUAAAAAUUGUUAAUGAUUUUCUGAUUUCCAUAUUAUUGUCGGAAAGGUGAAGCAUUUCCAAAAAUCUAAUGCUAAACGACUAAAUGCUUGGGUGGGGUGAUAGCCAGUUCUGAUGACAUAGCAAAUUCACAUUGUAUGCGUAUGGCCGGUAAUAGUGAAGUCUGCAGCCAUAUUGCAGCAAUCCUAUUUUUAGCUUAGUAUGCUCAGGGCAAGACAGACGAAGAAGAACCCAAUGUAUGUACAUAUGUUACAGCUACAUGGUUUGGAGAUAGCAACAUAUGCAUUCUCUGAUGAAAAACUAAUGAGUUUUGAAACUGUUCGGUCAGAGUGCUUGUUGCACUCACUAAAGGAAUUGAAAUAUAAGAUGGCUUUGGCAUUGUGUUGCAGCGAUAUGAAAAUGGUUAUUCAUUUUUAAUUAUAAUGUACUUCUUCAUCAUGAGUAAUUAUGUAUUGGUCUUUUAAAUGUGUAUUUAUUUUUGUAAUUAGUAUCAACUUGUAAUGAUAAUAUACAUUUAUCGUUUAA